GACAAGUAGGUAAAAAAUGGGGAAAAAAAUGGACUUCAUGUAUCUUGAGAGUAGUUGACCCUGUAAUUUGUUCUUAUACAUUCUUGUUGAAAACCAAGGAUUUCUCUACAGACAAUGCAGAGGCCUCUAGUCUUAUUAGACAAAUUUGGUUAAUGUCCACAAUCUUGAUUUCACUUGCUUGGUUUUCUCCUUGAGCUGGAAAUCCCUGAAAACUCCCCUGAAGUCUUCUUUUGGAGGAGUAAAAAUUCUAUCUUUAACCACAACAAUUCCUUUGAUGGUUUUUUACUUUGUUUCAACCAACAGAGGACUGAUCCUUGAAUGAUCAGAGUCUGUAAUGGAUGUAAUAGAUUUAUGUGUUGACUGUUGUCAAGGCCACUAAAGACUGAUUUUAGGUAUGAGCCCGUGAACCUUUAUAGGUACUGUACGGUUAAAAGGUUAUUGACCAUUUUUAAGGACAAACAUUGAGAAAAAUUUUAAGUUGUGCAGGAAAAGAAAAUGUUAGUAUCAGGAAAAAAAAGUCCAGCAGCUGAGAAGCAGAUAGCAAUAAUUUUGUUACCCAAAAAGUGGAGGUGGCAAAGAGAACUUUUAUUAACUUGUCAAAAGAAGGCCAUGAGGACCACUUCUUAUGAAGCCUUGUGACAUACUAGUGGUUACUGUCCUCCAGUUGCGCCUUCCAGAAGAUCUUUAUCAAAGAAAUGCUGUUUUUGAGAAAAUGCUAUUUAGUUUUCAAUUAGAGUUAUAUUAUAGUUAAGAAUGGUGAAGCAUCUUGGUUAGAAUUGUCUCAACAGUAUAGCCUGCACUAGCACAGUGAUUUAGGCUCAUGCCAUGCGAAUCCCCUUCUAUCUCUGGGUCUCUUUUUUGUUUUCCUAGUAUGAGAGAUCCUAUUUGUAUCUAGAACUAGGAAAGACAUUAUCCAUGCAGUUAUUCUGGUUCUUGAUCCAUCAUAGGCAAUUUGUAUGCCUCAAAAUUUAGAAAGCACACAAAGUUGACAUAGGUGGAACAAUUGACUUGGUGCCUCUAACUGAAUGAAGCCACAUAGGCCGAACAGCUUCCUUGUGUUUUAGAAAAUAACAGCAAACCUCUAGGUUUUUUUAAUAUAAAAAAAACUUAAAAUGAUGCUAUAUCAGUUCAAAUAUCCACGUAUUAGUUUGAUACCAAAUGUCACUACUUCCUGUUAGAUGAAACACUGUUAACAUGUGCAUGUGUUAAUAUUGCAGAAAUGAGGAAAUAGGUCCUAAGGACUAUGGGGAUAUAUGCUAAUGGGAUGUGCCUUGACAAUAUCACAGAGUUUUUGAAUGCUGGUAUCCUAGUUAUCUUGGCAAACAAAUAUCAAGAUGAACAAGUAUGCAAGUAUAUUGGUUUAUCUCAGUUGAAAUGACAGUUUUGAGGAUUUUUCAGAUGUAUCAGUAGUAUUACAAGAACAAUAGCAUGGGUUCGAAUCCUUGGACAGCCACAUCAUGCAAAAAAAAAAAAAAAAAAAAAAUCAAAGGAAUCAAUGAUUAGGAUUUCUCCCAGUUCACCCCUUCUAGAACCGCAGAUCGUUGGGAUCAUAACUGGGUAAUGUAGUUUAUCAGUAGUUCUACAAUAUAUCAGCUAUAGCAUGUCAAGCCAUUAUGGAAAUAUUGGCUGUUUCAGAGUAGAAGAGUGAGACUAUUACAGCCACAUAACAAUACAAGUAUCAUGAAAUUAUAGAAUGGACAAAAUAUGUUAGCCAUGGGUUUGUUUCUAAUAUUUAGCUACUAUAAGGAGUUUAUUUAUGAAUAAUUUUGUUGUUGUGACGAGUUCUCUUUUUCUAAUAUUUUUUGGAAGAUGUUGUGAUCUCCUGCUCUAUUUGGUUGUUUUGCCUUCAGGUGAAAGAGAGGAUUGUUUUCCCUGAACUUUGUCUUGUUGGAGUUGAUGUUUGAACGAAGCGAAUACACUUGGUCACUCUUCUUCAUUCCCAAAGAGGAUCAUCGAGUUCCUCAGUAAAAUAUAACAUCGACGCUCGUACAAAAUUUCUUUGUUCGACAUUUCCUUUCGCUGGUCGUGCUAUAUCAAAUCCUGAGUUCAGGAGGCUCAGCUCUCUAUUUUGACAUGGAAAUCAAUAAGAAAUCUCCCAAAGCCAUCUGUAAACCAGAAUCUUUUCCAUUAUUCCAGUCUUUCCACAUAAUUUGAAGAAUGGAAAAACUGGAGUUAAAAAAUAUAAAACGGUCAGUGAAAAGGUAAUAAGCUAUCUUCCAAACAAUUUUGAUAGAAAGAAUAUAAAGUUUCACAGAAAAAAAUAAGGAAAAGAUGGGGUGAAAGGAGAGAAAGAGGCCAUGUUCCCUAGGAAUGUGGUGCGAGAAAAGAGAACCUUUAUCACAAAGUUCUCAUAGGCCUGAACAUUGACCACUUCAUAAUGGGCUUUGAAUGCCUUGCAGUGUGACCAGCACAAACAAUAAAAAUAAUUGAAAGGCAUCGAUAUGGCGAGACCCACAUGAAUGGCAGGUGACUAGUGGGUCCUUCCUAUGUGCAGG